UACAGGGGGUGCAAACGUUGCUCGGAAUCAUUGGGCGUAAAGCGCACGUAGGCGGUCUGUUAUGUCGGAUGUGAAAGCCCUUGGCUUAACUGAGGAAGUGCAUCCGAAACUGGCAGGCUAGAGGUAUGCAGGGGAGAACGGAAUUCCUGGUGUAGCGGUGAAAUGCGUAGAGAUCGGGAGGAACACCGGCGGCGAAGGCGGCUGCCUGGACCAGUCCUGACGCUGAGGCGCGAAAGCUAGGGGAGCAAACAGG
rnacentral:rRNA from 1 species